rnacentral:guide_RNA from 1 species
AAUCACAUAAACGGCAAUGUAAUACAAUGU